AAACAGGAGUCGUUCACCACCCGAUAUCGCACAACUUCGUAGCCAGCACGGAAAGAAAUCUUCGCUAAUCACAACCAUGAUUGCUGUGAGCAGCAAGUCCUUCCUCCUCGCCCUGUUUGUGCUCGCUGUCGUCUGCAGCAUAGCCGCUGCCCAGUUCGGCUUCGGACGAGGAGGAUACGGAAGGGGCUAUGGCGGCUACGGAGGAGGCUUCGGCCGUGGAUACGGAGGAGGCUAUGGCCGCGGAUACGGCGGAUACGGCCGCGGAUUUGGAGGCUAUGGACGUGGAUUCUACGGCUGAGCGCUAACUUCAUUUGCACGAAUAACAAUCGACUACUACCACGAACAACGAAGAUGAAUUUACUAUAUUCAACGCACGGCACGAAAAAAUAAAUUGUUUAUUGCUGACAA